UGUAGCUCAGUGGCAGAGCACCUGCCUAGCAUGCCUGAGGUCCUGGGUUCCAUCCCCAGCA
rnacentral:tRNA from 1 species